AACGCACCUUGCGCCCCUUGGCAUUCCGAAGGGCACACCCGUUUGAGUGUCGUGAAAUCCUCAACCUUCUCCCUUUCUUGUUGAAUUGGGGGAAAGGCUUGGACUUUGGAGGUAUCAUUUUUUGCUGGCCUCUUUCCACUUGAAGCCAGCUCCUCUUAAAGGAAUUAGUGGGGAUCCCCUUUGCCGAUCCUUGACGUGAUAAGCUUUUGCAACCUCGUCUCGAGAGGUAGAGAAACCCUGCUUCUAAAUUGUCUCGUUUGAGACACGGGUGGUUUUGAAAGGUUUGCCCCUUUGACCCACCAAACCCCUUUUGACCUCAAAUCGGGUGAGACUACCCGCUGAACUUAA
rnacentral:misc_RNA from 1 species